rnacentral:tRNA from 1 species
CUCAGUGGUCUAGAAGUAUGAUUCUCGCUUUGGGUGCGAGAGGUCCCGGGCUCAAAUCCCGGCUGAG